rnacentral:lncRNA from 1 species
GCAGGACCGGGGAGAGUCCAUGCCUCUAUCCCAAAGUCAGAUGUCACUCAGGGAACUCCUGCGUUCAGCUCCACGUGGUUUUCCUAUUGCCUUUGCUUCCCUCCUGAACAAACACAAACUGGUUGGAUAGAUGUGGCCACCGUGUCAAGGGUUCUGUCCAGAGCCCACGUGCUUUCCUGGCCCACCUGUGACAAGAGUCCGGGGAUCCUGAUGAUGCUUCAGGCUCAACUCCUUGUCAGCAAUCAGGGCUCAACCACGUCGUCCCUGCCCAGGAGGUCCUCAUCAAAUGUGGCCCCAGUUGACCUCUGUGCCUCAGCAUCCUUCCUGUUUUCAAUUAGAUCUUGAGGCUGCCAACCUGCAGAAUUUGCCAAAGGAGGCGAGGCAUUAUGAAUGCAUGACUGGAGGGUGGACCGGAGCUUAGGAAAAUUCUAGAAGAACCCUCUAUGAGACCUCUGUCAUGGGGAACAGACUUUGUUUUGGGUGUUUCAGUAAUGGAAUGAUCUGCCCAGGUAUUUCUGGAAAUUUCUGAUGCUGAGGGAGGGAAACAGGGAACACUUGUAAUCCUGGUAGUAAAUAUUUUGUGUUAUCUGAUCUCUGUCCCAUUCAGUGAGUUAAACCUGUUUCACAGCUUGGUUUUUGGGAGAAAGUUCUAAAAUCUACUGUACAAGAUUAUAUGACAUGACAUCACUGAUCAAUUUGUCAUUAAAGAUGGUUAAUAGUACUGAUAUUUAAGCCUAAAAUAAACAACAAAUGUGAGUGACUGUUUGGUACAUUUCCUCUCUCCCUCCUUCUUUGCUUCCUCCCUCCUUCCCUGCCUUCCUCCCUCCCUUCCUUCCUUCCUUUCUUUCUUUUUUCUUUCCCCUUUGCAUCCCAUCUCCUUCUGUCUGUGUCUCUGUUUCUGUCUCUCUGUGUCUGUCUCUCUGUCUUUCCAUUCUCCCUCUUUCUCUUUCUCUCUGUCUACCUCUCUCUGGCAGUUAAUUGAAAGCAAGACUUAUAUGUGUCAAAUUUGAAUAAAAAUAUACAUCAAAAAUAUGUAUUUUUCCCUAAAGUUCUAAAAAGACAUCUGAGUACUAGGCAGAAAUCUUCCAAAGCACCAACAAUGUAAAAAGAUCCAUUUCCAUAAGAAUAAUUUCCAAAAAAGGGGAAAAAAUUGUUAUAGUGCUUCCAAUUCUCAUCCUGGCUUGGAUGGAGACAUGUAAAACCUUGAAGGGUGAUGAGAGGAAAACAAAACCUUUCUACCUUUGAAUGGAUUCUGCUUUGGUCGUGUUAGGGGUGGAGCUACUUAUGGAGGGCUACGUCAAUUCUCAUGAACUUAUCAGCAC